rnacentral:rRNA from 1 species
CGCGGCCUAUCAGCUUGUUGGGGUACUCGAGUGGCGAACGGGUGAGUAACACGUGGGUGAUCUGCCCUGCACUUUGGGAUAAGCUUGGGAAACUGGGUCUAAUACCGAAUAUGACCACUUCUUGGAUGUUGUGGUGGAAAGCUUUUGCGGUGUGGGAUGAGCCCGCGGCCUAUCAGCUUGUUGGUGGGGUAAUGGCCUACCAAGGCGGCGACGGGUAUCCGGCCUGAGAGGGUGUACGGACACAUUGGGACUGAGAUACGGCCCANACUCCUACGGGAGGCAGCAGUGGGGAAUAUCGCACAAUGGGCGCAAGCCUGAUGCAGCGACGCCGCGUGGGGGAUGAAGGCCUUCGGGUUGUAAACUCCUUUCGCUAUCGACGAAGCCACUUGUGGUGACGGUAGGUAGAUAAGAAGCACCGGCUAACUACGUGCCAGCAGCCGCGGUAAUACGUANGGUGCAAGCCGUUGUCCNGAAUUACUGGGCGUAAAAAACUCGUANGUGGUUUGUCNCGUCNUCUGUGAAAUCCCNGGGCUUAACUUCCGGCGUGCAGGCGAUACGGGCAUAACUUUAAUUCUUGUAGGGGAAACUGGAAUUCCUGGUGUACCGGUGAAAUGCCCANAUAUCAGGAAGNACNCCCAUUGGCAAAGGCAGGUCUCUUGGCAAGUAACUGAUUGCUUAANGANCCAAAANCUUGGGUAACCAAACAGGAUUUAAAUACCCCUUGGUAAUCCCUUGCCCUAAACCGGGGGGCCCCUNAGGGGUANGGGGGC